GACGAACGCUGGCGGCGUGCCUAAUACAUGCAAGUUGAGCGCUGAAGGUUGGUACUUGUACCAACUGGAUGAGCAGCGAACGGGUGAGUAACGCGUGGGGAAUCUGCCUUUGAGCGGGGGACAACAUUUGGAAACGAAUGCUAAUACCGCAUAAAAACUUUAAACACAAGUUUUAAGUUUGAAAGAUGCAAUUGCAUCACUCAAAGAUGAUCCCGCGUUGUAUUAGCUAGUUGGUGAGGUAAAGGCUCACCAAGGCGAUGAUACAUAGCCGACCUGAGAGGGUGAUCGGCCACCUUGGGACUGAGACACGGCCCAAACUCCUACGGGAGGCAGCAGUAGGGAAUCUUCGGCAAUGGACGAAAGUCCGACCGAGCAACGCCGCGUGAGUGAAGAAGGUUUUCGGAUCGUAAAACUCUGUUGGUAGAGAAGAACGUUGGUGAGAGUGGAAAGCUCAUCAAGUGACGGUAACUACCCAGAAAGGGACGGCUAACUACGUG
rnacentral:rRNA from 1 species